GAUGAACGCUAGCGGCAGGCUUAAUACAUGCAAGUCGAGGGGCAGCAUGAUUGUAGCAAUACAAUUGAUGGCGACCGGCAAACGGGUGCGGAACACGUACACAACCUCCCAAUAAGUGGGGAAUAGCCCAGAGAAAUUUGGAUUAAUACCCCGUAACAUAACGAUGUGGCAUCACAUUGUUAUUAUAGAUUUUUCGCUUAUUGAUGGGUGUGCGGCUGAUUAGAUAGUUGGCGGGGUAACGGCCCACCAAGUCUACGAUCAGUAGCGGAUGUGAGAGCAUGAUCGGCCACACGGGAACUGAGACACGGGCCCAACUCCUACGGGAGGCAGCAGUAAGGAAUAUUGGACAAUGGACGCAAGUCUGAUCCAGCCAUGCCGCGUGGAGGAUUAAGGUCCUCUGGAUUGUAAACUUCUUUUAUAAGGGACGAAAAAAGGCUUUUCUAAGUCGUCUGACGGUACCUUAUGAAUAAGCACCGGCUAACUCCGUGCCAGCAGCCGCCGUAAAAC
rnacentral:rRNA from 1 species